rnacentral:rRNA from 1 species
GAUGAACGCUGGCGGCGUGCCUAAUACAUGCAAGUCGAGCGAACAGAUGAGGAGCUUGCUCCUCUGACGUUAGCGGCGGACGGGUGAGUAACACGUGGAUAACCUACCUAUAAGACUGGGAUAACUUCGGGAAACCGGAGCUAAUACCGGAUAAUAUAUUGAACCGCAUGGUUCAAUAGUGAAAGACGGUUUUGCUGUCACUGAUAGAUGGAUCCGCGCCGCAUUAGCUAGUUGGUAAGGUAACGGCUUACCAAGGCAACGAUGCGUAGCCGACCUGAGAGGGUGAUCGGCCACACUGGAACUGAGACACGGUCCAGACUCCUACGGGAGGCAGCAGUAGGGAAUCUUACGCAAUGGGCGAAAGCUUGACGGAGCAACGCCGCGUGAGUGAUGAAGGUCUUCGGAUCGUAAAACUCUGUUAUUAGGGAAGAACAAAUGUGUAAGUAACUAUGCACGUCUUGACGGUACCUAAUCAGAAAGCCACGGCUAACUACGUG